AUCCAGCUGACGAGCCCUGAAUAGGACGAAACGCGCGUUCUGGAU
rfam:Schistosoma mansoni strain Puerto Rico chromosome 2, complete genome